UUUUUGUCAAGUUGGCUUUGUAACUUGAUAAUAUGACCUCUUAUAACGGCCUUAAAGGCACACCACAAAAUAGAUGAAUCAAUAUUUUCUGAGAUAUUUUCUUUAAAAUAAUUUUUUAUAUUAUCUCUUAUAUGAGUUUUUUUUAAUUCACAACAAAGCAAAUUAUCUCUUAACCGCCAAGUAUAAGCUUCUCUUUUAAAUGUACUAAAAAUCAUUUCACAAAAAACUCCAUUGUGGUCUGUCCAUACUAUCUCGUCAAUCUUUGUUUUUUUGGUCAUAUCAAUAAUACUUGGGUCAACCCAAAUCAUAUCCAAUCUUGAAUAGGAAAAAUGCACUUUAGAAAAAUGCGUAUAGUCUCUCUCAUUGGGAUUAAAAAUUCUCCAAAUAUCGAAUAGAUUAUAUUCAUCUUUAAUUUUUUUUAAGGCUUUUGCUUGUUUUAUAACCAUCUGAUUUAAAGUAUUUCCUUUCAUUAAUUUUUUAUCUAUCUGAGGGUCUAGUACAGCAUUGAAAUCCCCUGCCAAUAUUAAC